rnacentral:rRNA from 1 species
ACUCCUACGGGAGGCAGCAGUGAGGGAAUAUUGGGGCAAUGGGCGAAAGCCUGACCUAGCCACGCCGCGUGAGUGAUGAAGGCCUUCGGUUCGNUAAAGCUCUGUGGAGAGGGACGAAAACCCUGGUUUCGAACUAGGCUCCAGGCUUGACGGUACCCUCUUUUAGCAAGCACCGGCUAACUCUGUGCCAGCAGCCGCGGUAAUACAGAGGGUGCAAACGUUGCUCGGAUUUUACU